GACGAACGCUGGCGGCGCGCUUAACACAUGCAAGUCGAACGGUGAACCGGGCUUCGGCCCGGGGAUCAGUGGCGAACGGGUGCGUAACACGUGGGCAACCUGCCCCAGACACUGGGAUAACCCCGGGAAACCGGGGCUAAUACCGGAUACUCCGGCCGGACCGCAUGAUCUGGCCGGGAAAGCUCCGACGGUCUGGGAUGGGCCCGCGGCCUAUCAGCUUGUUGGUGGGGUCACGGCCCACCAAGGCGACGACGGGUAGCUGGUCUGAGAGGACGACCAGCCACACUGGAACUGAGAUACGGUCCAGACUCCUACGGGAGGCAGCAGUGGGGAAUCUUGCACAAUGGGCGCAAGCCUGAUGCAGCGACGCCGCGUGGGGGACGACGGCCCUCGGGUUGUAAACCCCUUUCGGCAGGGAAGAAGCGCAAGUGACGGUACCUGCAGAAGAAGUCCCGGCUAACUACGUGCCAGCCGCCGCAGUAAGAC
rnacentral:rRNA from 1 species